CCAACAGGGAUUACCUCAGUAACGGCGAGUGAAGCGGUAUAAGCUCAAAUUUGAAAUCUGGCUCUUUCAGGGUCCGAGUUGUAAUUUGCAGAAGAUGCUUCGGGUGUGGUUCCGGUCUAAGUUCCUUGGAACAGGACGUCAUAGAGGGUGAGAAUCCCGUAUGUGACUGGAUACCUUCGCCCAUGUGAAGCUCUUUCGACGAGUCGAGUUGUUUGGGAAUGCAGCUCAAAAUGGGUGGUAUAUUUCAUCUAAAGCUAAAUAUUGGCCAGAGACCGAUAGCGCACAAGUAGAGUGAUCGAAAGAUGAAAAGCACUUUGGAAAGAGAGUUAAACAGUACGUGAAAUUGUUGAAAGGGAAGCGCUUGCAAUCAGACUUGCGCCUAGUUGAUCAUCUGGGCUUCUGUCCAGUGCACUCGAUUAGGCUCAGGCCAGCAUCAGUUUGGGUGGUUGGAUAAAGGCCUGAGGAAUGUGGCUUCCUUCGGGGAGUGUUAUAGCCUCAGGUGCAAUGCAGCCUACCCGGACUGAGGACCGCGCUUCGGCUAGGAUGCUGGCGUAAUGGUUGUAAGCGACCCGUCUUGAAACACGGACCAAGGAGUCGACCUAUUUAGCGAGUGUUUGGGUGUUAAACCCAUACGCGUAAUGAAAGUGAACGGAGGUGAGAACCCUUAAGGGCGCAUCAUCGACCGAUCCUGAUGUCUUCGGAUGGAUUUGAGUAAGAGCUAAGUGGGUCGGACCCGAAAGAUGGUGAUCUAUACGUGAAUAGGGUGAAGCCAGAGGAAACUCUGGUGGAGGCUCGCAGCGGUUCUGACGUGCAAAUCGAUCGUCAAAUUUGCGUAUAGGGGCGAAAGACUAA
rnacentral:rRNA from 1 species